UACGUAGGGGGCAAGCGUUGUCCGGAAUCAUUGGGCGUAAAGCGCGUGUAGGCGGUUCGGUAAGUCUGCUGUGAAAGUCCAGGGCUCAACCCUGGGAUGCCGGUGGAUACUGUCGGACUAGAGUACGGAAGAGGCGAGUGGAAUUCCCGGUGUAGCGGUGAAAUGCGCAGAUAUCGGGAGGAACACCAAUUGCGAAGGCAGCUCGCUGGGACGUUACUGACGCUGAGACGCGAAAGCGUGGGGAGCAAACA
rnacentral:rRNA from 1 species